UGGCCAUUGUGGAAUAGAGAAUCAUGCUGAGG
rnacentral:piRNA from 1 species